GAAAGAUUGCAUUUGUGUCCUACCGUUGUCAAGAAAAUUUGCCGAAAAGGCGGAGUGGGGCGGUGGCCUUAUAGAAAGAUUCAAUGUAUUGAGAGAAAGAUCUUGGAAUUAAGGGAGCAGCUAAAGAGAGAAGAUGAACCGAAAAGGAGUCGCACCCAAGCAGAGAUUGACGAAUGGCAACGAAAUUUGGACAAGAUCCACUAUGGAGUCGCUAGAACAGACUAGUACGGCGUUUACUAAUUUGGAUACAUUUUAUAUGUUGCAGAGACUUUGAGACCUUGAUGAGUCAUAUACUUUCGUCUUUCGGCACAUUUUGGUUUGUGUACAGUGGUGCUGUGAGCAAAGCGAGGACAAAGACGGAUACUCUUUCUUGCAUUAUACACUUACAUCUGUGAUCAAAAUUUCUUGUUGCCUCGAAAGAGAAUAUAAUAUUUUUGUGUGAAA